rnacentral:rRNA from 1 species
UUGCACGCUGGCGGCAGGCCUCACACAUGCACGUCGAGCGGUAGAGAGAAGCUUGCUUCUCUUGAGAGCGGCGGACGGGUGAGUAAUGCCUAGGAAUCUGCCUGGUAGUGGGGGAUAACGUUCGGAAACGGACGCUAAUACCGCAUACGUCCUACGGGAGAAAGCAGGGGACCUUCGGGCCUUGCGCUAUCAGAUGAGCCUAGGUCGGAUUAGCUAGUUGGUGGGGUAAUGGCUCACCAAGGCGACGAUCCGUAACUGGUCUGAGAGGAUGAUCAGUCACACUGGAACUGAGACACGGUCCAGACUCCUACGGGAGGCAGCAGUGGGGAAUAUUGGACAAUGGGCGAAAGCCUGAUCCAGCCAUGCCGCGUGUGUGAAGAAGGUCUUCGGAUUGUAAAGCACUUUAAGUUGGGAGGAAGGGCAGUAAAUUAAUACUUUGCUGUUUUGACGUUACCGACAGAAUAAGCACCGGCUAACUCUGUG